CUCCCCUUAGCCCUUCCUUCCACCCUGGACUGUACCAUUCUUAGAUUAUAGGGUGAUCAAAAGCAGAAAGUAAGUUAGAAACUCGUUAAAAGUCGUCCUUCUUCCCUCAGUAAGCACUGCCUCAGCUGUUUAAACUUUCUUCUCAUUGUGAUCGGAAACUGUUCAGGGGCUUGCUGCAUUUGCAAGGUCGCAGCGGGAGGGAGCACCGAACUUUGGACUGCACCUCAGAGGGCGAGGUAAACAACAGGGCUAUAAAAGUCAGUGUCAGCCUGUGGCUUUGGGGAGCUGCCCUAACUAGAGCAAAGAGACAGGACGAAGCUAGUCCGAAGGGGUUGCGGUUUCUCUGUAUAGCCCUGGCUGUCCUGGAACUCACUCUGUAGACCAGGCUGGCCUCGAACUCAGAAAUCCUCCUGUCUCUGCCUCCCAAGUGCUGGGAUUAUAGGAAUGUGCCACCACAGCCCAGCGGAUGAGGGGCUUUAAAAUGCUGGUCUGUUUUUGUUGUGGUCGUUGUUGUUCGGGAGAGGAUGUGUGGCAAAGAGUAAGCUUGCUUUCCUUUUAAUGGAGUACAAUCAAUUGUAGUUUUGAGCAUGAACAGGUAUCUAGGCUUGCAACUGAAGACUGUAAUCGCUAUAACCACUGUCCAGUUAUUACUGGAUCUAAUUUUGUUAUUUGCCUUCAUUCUUUUUAUAUAGCUCUUCGACAGUUACAGUUAAAAUGCAAAGCUUAUUCCAUAAAAGCAACCUUAAGCAAAGUCAAGCAGCCUAUUGAUUAAUGAUGGGAAACUCUGCAAGUGGAAACUCAUCUUCUCCAGUUUUUCCUUUGUCCCUCGAUCAUUCUUUUCAUUAGAAACGUGGGUGAAAUAGUCUUCUCAUUUAUGUCUGCCAUUUAGCCAUUUGAAAAUAUCUGCCUUAUGGCAGAGUGUCAAGGGCCGUGUCUUCAUGCUGGAGUUCUAUAAAGACUGAAUUUAGUUUAGUGUUUUGAGGUGUGUGUGUAUAUGUGUGUGUGUGUGUGUGUGUGUGUGUGUGUGUGUUAGCGAUUGAUUCCCAGAGCCUCACAUGAAUUUAGUUUAGGAAAGAAGUACCAGCUAGAUUUUCUAUUAAGACACUGAAUAGCUUGGUUUUUUUCCUUCUUUUUUUUCCCCAGAGCAUAGAGCAUAUAGAAAUGCUAUAGUUAAUGCUAUAGUUAUAUAGGCUGCUAUAGUUAUCGCAAGGUGAUGUAUUUUAAAACUCUCAGUGUAUACUGGUAGCUGAGCUAUCCAUGUUUUGAGUUGGGCAGAACCAAUUUAAAUCUACUCUUGUGGAUACUAAUCCUGUAUAGUCUUAGAGAAGGCACACAAAGUCUCUCUGAGCCACAGUUUCCUCAACUGCAGAGAGCGCAGUA
rnacentral:lncRNA from 1 species